GAGAGCCGUAUGAUGGGAAACUAUCACGUACGGUUCGGAGGGCAGUUCUUGUUGAGGCUGACCCCUAC
rfam:Aspergillus cristatus strain GZAAS20.1005 Scaffold_Scf_30, whole genome shotgun sequence.